rnacentral:rRNA from 1 species
AUUGAACGCUGGCGGAAUGCUUUACACAUGCAAGUCGAACGGCAGCACGGACUUCGGUCUGGUGGCGAGUGGCGAACGGGUGAGUAAUGUAUCGGAACGUGCCCAGUCGUGGGGGAUAACGUAGUGAAAAUUACGCUAAUACCGCAUACGAUCUAUGGAUGAAAGCGGGGGAUCGCAAGACCUCGCGCGAUUGGAGCGGCCGAUAUCAGAUUAGGUAGGUGGUGGGGUAAAGGCCCACCAAGCCAACGAUCUGUAGCUGGGCUGAGAGGACGACCAGCCACACUGGAACUGAGACACGGUCCAGACUCCUACGGGAGGCAGCAGUGGGGAAUUUUGGACAAUGGGCGAAAGCCUGAUUCAGCCAUUCCGCGUGCAGGAUGAAGGCCCUCGGGUUGUAAACUGCUUUUGUACAGAACGAAAAGGUUUCUACUAAUACUAGGAGCUCAUGACGGUACUGUAAGAAUAAGCACCGGCUAACUACGUGCCAGCCGCCGCAGUAA